rnacentral:rRNA from 1 species
UACGUAGGGGGGCAAGCGUUGUCCGGAUUUAUUGGGCGUAAAGCGCUCGCAGGCGGUCCGAUGCGUCGUGCGUGAAAGACCCCGGCUCAACUGGGGAGGGUCACGCGAUACUGAUCGACUCGAAGGCAGGAGAGGGUAGUGGAAUUCCCGGUGUAGUGGUGAAAUGCGUAGAUAUCGGGAGGAACACCAGUGGCGAAGGCGACUACCUGGCCUGUUCUUGACGCUGAGGCGCGAAAGCUAGGGGAGCAAACGGG